rnacentral:rRNA from 1 species
CCCGCUGAACUUAAGCAUAUCAAUAAGCGGAGGAAAAGAAACCAACAGGGAUUGCCUCAGUAACGGCGAGUGAAGCGGCAACAGCUCAAAUUUGAAAUCUGGCUCCUUCGGGGCCCGAGUUGUAAUUUGUAGAAGAUGCUUUGAGCGUGGCUCCGGUCUAAGUUCCUUGGAACAGGACGUCAUAGAGGGUGAGAAUCCCGUAUGUGACUGGUCGCCUUCGCCCGUGUAAAGCUCUUUCGACGAGUCGAGUUGUUUGGGAAUGCAGCUCAAAAUGGGUGGUAAAUUUCAUCUAAAGCUAAAUAUUGGCCAGAGACCGAUAGCGCACAAGUAGAGUGAUCGAAAGAUGAAAAGCACUUUGGAAAGAGAGUUAAACAGUACGUGAAAUUGUUGAAAGGGAAGCGCUUGCAACCAGACUUGCACGCGGUUAAUCAUCUGGUGUUCUCACCGGUGCACUUGAUCGUGUUCAGGCCAGCAUCGGUUCAGGUGGUGGGAUAAAGGCCUUGGGAAUGUAGCUUCUUUCGGGGAGUGUUAUAGCCCUCGGUGCGAUGCCGCCUACCUGGACCGAGGACCGCGCUUCGGCUAGGAUGCUGGCGUAAUGGUUGUAAGCGACCCGUCUUGAAACACGG